UCCACGUGGCGGAUGAUCGAAGUUUCCGAUUCUUCUAGACGUCGACAACUAUCGGACUCCCAUCAGGACCGUUGUCGGACCGUGCGGAUAGCUAGAUUUUUUUUGGGUCUGCUUCUGGAGGUUGCUAGUGGUCGACUUCUUCGCGCCGUUAAUGGCGGCACGCGUUCCUCCGAUCUCCCGAAGCUCUCUGGUGAAGUUCCUCCUCCUCCUCCCCCUCCUCCUGUAGAAAUUGUCCGGAGGGAUCGCUCUGCUGGAGGAUCAUCGGUCGGGCGGGGAGGAGAAUCGGCGCCCGGCAUUCAUCGGAUUCACACGGCUGCCGGCGUUAGGGUCGAAACCAGAGGCCAUUUCAGCGCUGUAGAGAGAGAGUAGGCGUCGGCUUUUGAACGAUGGAAUGCAGAGCGGAUUCCGGAAACGCGCUCCAUUUCCGGCAAAUCAAAGGUUUUCCCUCCUCUUCCUCUCUCUCUCUCUCUCUCUCUCUCUCUCUCUCUCUCUCUAGAUCAGCGGAAGUUUUCACGCUUCCCUGCGUGUUUUACCUACUCAAUCGAAAGUCAUCUGCUCAUUGAUUCAUGAAAAAGUUUGCUGCCUCGCGUCAUGCACCAUAUGAGAACAAGAAAAUUUCAAAACGUUCCGUACUUCCACCUUGAGACGCUAGAUCGGAGCAAGAAUAAGAGGGAGGCGGAAAAGGAAGUUCAUUACGAACGUCUUUCACUUUUGCCGUGCGGAACCCCAAGAUGAUCAGUCCCCCCUUUAUUUCCCCAUCCGGGAUUAAGAUGUGGACCAAGUUGACAUCGAAAACUCAUUUCACAGGAGCAGUUCAAGGCUUCCGAAGAAGGAUAUACAGCACUACAGAGGGGUAGCAACAAUCCCCAAAUAGCAAACAUGAAAUUUUGAGGAUUCGUUUGAAGCUCAUCAGUAGGUACAUUAUGCAAAAAAAAAUUGUCUCAGAGGAGUGGAUGGAUGAAGCUAUUUGAUGAAACUUGUGUGCUGCAUGUGUGAUCGGUGGCCCUUUCUUUGUGUAUCAUUUCAAGAAGAUUUGCUUCCAUCAUCUCUGCUUCCGCUUGCUAUGUUUCAAGGGAAGACAACAGCCUGAUGUCGGCGACCCCAGUAACUGCAGUUCUUCCAGACGGCUAGAACAUGGCACCUGACAGAAUUAGAUCGAGUUUAGCCGAUUAAGAUGCCAGAAAUGAACCCCAGUGUUUCAGGUCCCUAUCGAUCGAAAUGACAUAAAUGAAACAUUUCACAUAAAUGUCAACGCAUCUGGGGGUACCUGGAGUUGUCUUUGAACCAAGAGGUGAGAAGGGAGUUGACUUCGGACCCGAUCUAGACGGCAAAGGGCUGAAAGUUGGUGUGUGACCAAAAGAAGGCAUCGGACCAGAUGUUGGCAUCCGUGGUCUCAUGGUAGCGGGAUACGGUUCCCUUGUGUCUACAACUACCACAUCCGAGGUAAGAAAAGUUUUGGCGACAGAAGCUGCAUGCUCCACGCAGCAUCUAACCACCUGUUGACAUUUUGCACAGGAGAUGAAUAAAUCCCGCAUUCACAAUCAAGUACAUGAAGACAGAUAUUGAAUGCGAGGGUUAACUGAGCAGCAAGAAAAUAUGAUUAUUUUCAAGGUGUUGCUCUCAGAUAUUUGCGGGCCACGUACCUUUGAUGGGUCUAAGAUUCCUGCACCCAUCAAGUCCUCAUAACUAUCUUUCGCUGCAUUAUAUCCAUAUCUGUUGUCAUUGGAGGAUAGAAUCUGCAAGUAGAAUAAGGCGUUAUAUUCUACUCCUCUAAAGGAGAAAGGCUCAUCCUUCAUCCUGUCUCCCAGCAUUAUGUUCAUAAUUUUUUCCAUCACGUCGCCUUUUAAUCGAAAUAUUCGGUUAAAAAAAAAAAUCGGUGUUUGUGUCGUUAUAGAGGAAGAAAUGUGAACCUUCUGAAUGACGACACUGCCAUUAACGCCUGCAUUUUUAGCUAUGAGCUUUGUGGGAUAGCUUAGAGCCCUCUUGAAGAUGUCAGCACCAACCUGCAGAAUAUAGGCAUAAAUAGCCUUAAUAGAGAUCUAGAAGUAUUUAAGGGUUGCAUGGUUCAAACAAUUAUAAAAACUGGUACCUUCUGCUCUUCAUUAUCCAGAGAAUUCUUAAUAUCGUCCACCUUCAGAGAUAGCCUCAACAAGCUACAGCCACCUCCAACAACAACACCUUCUUCAAUGGCUGCCUGCAAUACAAACGCUCAAUUCUGAAACCUCUGGCAAUUAAUCUGCCAGGAAGCAUGCAUGGUCUCGGAAUUACUUUGGUCGCAUUCAGAGCAUCCUCAACUCUCAGCAUUUUGUUCUUCAACUCGACUUCCGUCGGUGCACCUACCUGUCAUUUGUUGUUUAGAAAAUAUUUGUACCUGAGAUGAUGCAAGAGCUCAGAAAUAGGGCGCCGCAUAUGUUGGAAUGGAUUGGCUUGCCACCUUCGACAUGUACCGCCAUUACCUGAAGAAUCGCAACCCCACUGGAUAGUCUUGCAAUUCUCUCGCUCAGUAUUUUCUUCUUGAACGUCUCUUUAGUGUUCUGAAACAAGAAAGAGAUGUGUAUUAAGACCAUGCUUUAAGAAAAUUGCCAAGAGAAGGCUACAUGUAGGAAUCUACUUGAUUCAAGUCCAGCAUAUUACUUGGGGCUACUUGAUCUGCACAAUAAAUUUCAUAUUAAUUUUCCUUUAAUGUCUAGCCCUCAGGACCCUAGAUUGAGACCCUAUCCUGGUUCAGCAUGCCCAUAACCACGAGUCUUGUUCUAGGGGAUGGAAUUGGAGACUAAGGUCUUGAUAUGAUAACCAGAUAGCUGACUUAGAAUUUAAUGCUGAGUGCAAACCCAAAUUCUAAGACAAAUUACUAGUCCCCACUGUUUUCAUUUACAACCAGUUUUCUUUUACAUUAAAAUUUGUAUCCUGCUUCGCAUAUCUUGCACCAUUUAUUUUAAUUUGCACGCCACAUUUAUUAAUAAAACAUGCAAAAAAGAAUUAUUUCUUCAAGGAGCUUUGAAAUCUCAUACUAGUGUUACCUCGAAUAAUGCAAAUCAUGAACAAAGAAACUAGCAUCACGAACCUCAACAAGACUUGCAAUCUGCUUUAUCCGCUUCUCCACAGAAUCUUGUGUGCUUCCAUCAGUGACCAGCAAGGUAGAAUCUUUACUUACAACCACCUUUGACGCGGACCCUAACACUUCCUUCCCGACCUUCUCGAGACUAAGUCCCACAUCAUCUCUAACCACAGUACCUGCUCCGCAGACAGAAACCACAGGAGAAGGGACCAGGGCCCCAUCAGACGAAAACCCC
rnacentral:lncRNA from 1 species